UGCGCGGUAGAGAAGCCCGGUAUCUCGCCAGCCUCAUAAGCUGGAGAUCGUCAGUUCGAAUCUGACCUGCGCAACCA
rnacentral:tRNA from 2 species